rnacentral:tRNA from 1 species
AGGGGCAUGGCCAAGUCGGUAAGGCAACGGACUUUGACUCCGUAAUUCGUAGGUUCGAGUCCUGCUGCCCCUGCCA